GACGAACGCUGGCGGCGUGCUUAACACAUGCAAGUCGAACGGAAAGGCCCUGCUUUUGUGGUGUGCUCGAGUGGCGAACGUGUGAGUAACACGGGAGUAACCCGCCCUUGACUGUGGGAUAACUUCAGGACACUGGGGCUUAUAGCGGAGAAGCGCUCCUGCGGCAGGGUGGGGGUUGGAAAGUUUCGGCGGUGGGGGGUGGACGCCCGGCUUGUCAGCUUGUGGGUGGGGUGGUGGCUUAACGAGGCUUGGGGGGGCAGCGGGCCUGAGAGGGUGCCCGGCCACAGUGGGAGUGAGACGCGGCCCAGACUCCUGCGGGAGGGAGGAGUGGGGAAUAUUGCACAAUGGGCGGAAGUGUGACGCAGCAGCGCCGUGUGGGGGAUGGCGGCCUUCGGUGUGUAAACCGCUCUCGAGUGUGAAAACGCGUUAGUGACGGUAAUGGGUUAAGAAGCACCGGCUAACUACGUG
rnacentral:rRNA from 1 species